rnacentral:misc_RNA from 1 species
CACCGAACAUGCGAGUGAAGCCACCAAAGCGAAUACAAAAUCAAAAGCGAAUACAAAGUCGCAGCAGUGCUAAAGAUAGCGUCGUAUUGUUUAAACGUCUCGAGUGAUUCAUUAUUUUGUGUCAAAAAAUGCCGUCUUGUGUUAUUAAUAUUAAACAUUGUGAAAGUUGUUCCCAAAAAUAAAAAAAAGAGGAUGGAAUUUCAUUUCACAGAUUGCCGACAGAUGUUGUUCUACGCGAGGAUUGGGUUUCUAUUAUUCGCCAAAGCAGGCAAGACAAUAAUUGGCAGGCUUCAAAAUUUUGCGCUGUGUGUUCAUUAAAUAUUAAAGAGGAUGGCUUAUGCUUUACCGUAAAAUGUCGUAGGUUGAUAAAAAAAAAUUCCAAUGUAAUUAUUUGUAAUACUAUCUAAUCUUUUGGUCUAGUCUUUAAGUUGUCUGUAUAUCGAUGUAUGUGUGUGUGUGUGAAUAAAUGAUGAUGAUUAUUAUUAUUAUUAUUAUUAAUAAAUAUUUUAAAUUAUGUAUGUUUUUUUUAAUUUGUCUAAUGAAAUAAAUAUGAUACUACUGAAAAACACUAAA